rnacentral:lncRNA from 1 species
GACGGUGACAUGGUAAAGGGAGAAUGGGGAUUGGAGGGGAGGGAAGGGGGAGGAGUAGGGUGGAGACGAGCUUGACUGGGACCUCAGGCAUGGAACCAAAUCCCACGGUUAACUGGAAAGGAGAGAGCUGGCUUCCACGCUCUUCAGUCAGUGGGACAGGCCUGGCUUCUUUGUGCAGGUUCUUUUGGGCAGGAACGUCCCAGGGGAUGCCGUGGCUGCCUCGUGACCGGAGAUCUAUGAGGAAUACACACGGUGAACGUAGGUCCUUUUGCGUGAGGGGGUGUGGCACAGAGGAAGGGAUACCGCAAGAUGGAACCUGAG